GACGAACGCUGGCGGCGUGCUUAACACAUGCAAGUCGAACGGAGUGGCGAACGGGUGAGUGACACGUGGGUGACCUGCCCUGCACUUCGGGAUAAGCCCGGGAAACUGGGUCUAAUACCGGCUAGUGUGGGAUGGGCCCGCGGGCUAUCCGCUUGUUGGUGGGGUAAGGGCCUACCAAGGCGGCGACGGGUAGCCGACCUGGGAGGGUGGACGGCCACAGUGGGACUACGACACGGCCCAGACGGCUACGGGAGGCAGCAGGGGAGAAUAUGGCACAAUGGGCGGAAGCCUGAUGCAGCGACCCCGCGUGUGUGAUGACGGCCUUCGGGUUGUAAACUCCUUUCACCAUCGACGCGGUAGAUGCAGAAGAAGCACCGGCUAACUACGUGCCAGCAGCCGCGGUAAUAC
rnacentral:rRNA from 1 species